rnacentral:rRNA from 1 species
GACAGCAGCAGCCGCGGUAAUACGUAGGUGGCAAGCGUUAUCCGGAAUUAUUGGGCGUAAAGCGCGCGCAGGCGGUUUCUUAAGUCUGAUGUGAAAGCCCACGGCUCAACCGUGGAGGGUCAUUGGAAACUGGGGAACUUGAGUGCAGAAGAGAAAAGCGGAAUUCCACGUGUAGCGGUGAAAUGCGUAGAGAUGUGGAGGAACACCAGUGGCGAAGGCGGCUUUUUGGUCUGUAACUGACGCUGAGGCGCGAAAGCGUGGGGAGCAAACAGGAUUAGAUACCCCUGUAGUCCCUGUCUCUUAUAC